UACGAAGGGGGCAAGCGUUGUUCGGAAUUACUGGGCGUAAAGGGCGCGUAGGCGGCCCGCUAAGUCGAACGUAAAAUCCCCGGGCUCAACCCGGGAACUGCGUCCGAUACUGGUGGGCUUGAAUCCGGGAGAGGGAUGCGGAAUUCCAGGUGUAGCGGUGAAAUGCGUAGAUAUCUGGAGGAACACCGGUGGCGAAGGCGGCAUCCUGGACCGGUAUUGACGCUGAGGCGCGAAAGCCAGGGGGAGCAAACGGG
rnacentral:rRNA from 1 species